AGAGAGAGAGAGAGAGAAAGGAGCUCCUUGAGAGAGCAAUAGCCACAGGGGUUUUGUGGGUUGCCAUGUGGUUAUUGCCCUUCUCAAUGGAAUCGGAUUUUGGGAGAAUUGGUUUCAUGCUACUACGAAUUGUUAUGGGUUGCAAAGUGGAUAUUUCAAUAGUCAGAGUGUUUUGGAUUUGAAUACCUUGGCUUCAAAAAGCAAAGAGAAGCAAGUUUUGUGGAUUUAGGAUUACAUAUGUUUCAGCAUUUAGGGUGCUUAAUUGGUAUUAAUCCUAAGAUUGGGACACAGAAGAGGUUGCCCAGUUCGAAGCCAUGCCAAACUAAAAUUAAACCGAUUGACAUGUUGGAUACUGUGCAAGAAAUUGCCAUUUACAUACAUAGGUUUCACAACCUUGACCUUUUUCAGCAAGGGUGGUAUCAAAUUAAGAUCAGCGUGAGAUGGGAAGACAGUGCGUAUACUUCUUUGGGAAGUCCUGCAAGGGUUGUUCAAUGUGAACCUCCUGAUUUGGGUUUUGAUAACACAUAUGGAGUAUGGAGGAUUAAUGAUGCUGACAACAGUUUCUCAACGCAGCCUUUUCGAAUUAAAUAUGCCAGGCAGGAUAUUCUUUUAUCUAUUAUGAUCUCUUUCAAUCUACCUCUUGGUGAUAAGUGUCCAUCUACAUCUGCUGUUAUUUUGAAGUUUGAGCUUUUGCAAGCCCCUGCAUCGGAGGAUGGGCUUGAGUUGCUUGCUUAUCUAGAUGCUUCCACUGUUGCGGUCCAUGAAUUUCGAAUUCCUCCGAAAGCUCUUUUGGGAUUGCAUUCAUAUUGUCCUGUCCAUUUUGAUGCAUUUCAUGCUGUGCUAGUUGAUAUAAGCGUUCAUACCAGUCUAUUGAAGGCCAGCUCUUACAUGAAGGUAUCCAGUGAUUCUUGCACCCAUGAAGAUGUUGCUGGCAAACGGAUUGAUAGGUUCAAUCAAUCAAUAGGUCAAGUGGUUUCUGUAGACAUGAAGCAGAUCACGCUUGUUAAAACAUUAUUAGUUGCUCGUGACACAUUGCUUGAAGGGCUACAAAAACUUAGCAAAGCCAUUGACCAAGCUAUUGAUUUAACUGAUUUUUCCAAAAUGAAUGAUGAGGGGAUGUUUGAUUGCAUCUUGCGACCAAAUCUGAGCACUGUUGAUGGUGAAGUUUCAGGACAAGGCAAGCCACAAAAUGUUCUUGAGAAGUCAAGCAGCAUUGCAGAUUGUCGAAAUGAUGUGUUGCCCUGCACUUUAUCAGAGGAUACUGUUGUUAACAUUUUCCAUUCCCUCGGUGCUCAAUUAUCGUACUUAUGGAACACUUUUCUGCAGUUUCACAGGAUAAACAAAACAAAAAUAUUAGGGUUUCUGAGUAUGACAUGGGCUAAGGAUCGAAGAGCUGAAUGGUCAAUAUGGAUGGUUUGCUCAAAGGUUGAGAUGCCUCAUCAUUACAUAAGCAGUCGAAAUGAUGAAUUUUCCCACCCGACUGUCCCAAAAAGAGUUUCGAGCUUGUGGAAGUUACCUGAUGAUCCUGCCCAAACUUUGGCCACACGUGCUGAGCUUCAUCGGCGAAGUAUUGCACAAAUGAAGGUGAGCUAUUUAUCAAUAUUUACUGAUUAAUUAUCAGUUUAAUCAGAGAAUGUUUUAUUUCCAUGCUGAGCUAUGUAUCCACAUUUUCUGAUCUCCAUCGGCAUAGUAUUAUCAAUCUUGGUAAAUUUUAGUUCUUUGGAGAACAUUUUAUUUCCGUGCAGAUCAAUAAUCAGUCAAUUCAAGACAUGCAUAUUUUUGGAGAUCCUCUUCGAAUUCCUAUCAUAAUUGUGGAACGUGUCAUGAAUGCACCCCGGCGUGCUCUAAGUGAAAAUUCUUACUUUAGAAAUGUAGACCUGAUAGAUUCACCUGUCUUGCUUUCUACACCCAGCGUUGAAGCUGGAAGAAUCCUAUCUAGUUCCAACCUGAAGCAGAAUGGUCGUGAGUUGAAGGUUGUUGUCUUUGUGCAUGGAUUUCAGGCAAGAUUCUAUGGCUUCACUUGGAUAUCUAAUUUCUGUUACUAUAUUUUACUUUCCUCUUCAUUCCUUACUUUUGUUUGUUAUUCUCUUUUUCUUUAAAAUAAAAAAUGGUUUUACUAUUUUAUUUUUGUUACAUGAACUAUUGUCAUCACUUCAUCUCUUAUUGGUUGGUUGCAUAAAUUAUUUGACCAUUUGAGUCUCUUAUAUAAAUAUGUGUUAAUCCUCUUACCCUGAAUUGGUCGUAUUUCCUGAAAUUUAAUAUCAUUGAACUUUUGGUUAAUAUAUUUCUCAUUUGUUUCUUUCAUGUUUUGCUGUCAGCCAAGCAUUCUUUAUUCUCUACUGUUUCUCAAGAAAAUCUUUUACAAAGUCCCUCGAAUUAUAUUGCAGUUUAAGCAUGUUUUAGUGCAUUAAUUUUAUUUGUAUCAAAACCAACGCAUUAGGGGCAUCAUCUGGAUUUACGGCUUGUUCGAAAUCAAUGGCUUUUAAUAGACCCCAAGAUAGAGUUUCUCAUGUCUGAGGUAAAUGAGGACAAAACAUCUGGAGACUUCAGAGAAAUGGGACUAAGGCUGGCUCAGGAAGUGGUCUCUUUUCUUAAAAAGAAAAUGGAUAAAUUUUCUAAGUCCUGCAAUUUGGGAGGUAUCAAGCUUAGCUUUGUCGGGCAUUCUAUUGGAAAUAUCAUUAUAAGAACAGCAUUAGCAGAGACCAUCAUGGAACCAUACCUAAGAUGCCUCUACACGUAUGUAUCUAUAUCUGGUCCACACAUGGGGUACCUUUACAGUGCGAACUCUUUAUUUAACUCUGGAAUGUGGCUUUUGAAAAAGCUCAAGGGAUCACAAUGCAUUCAUCAGCUUACUUUCACUGAUGACCCAGAUCUUCGCAAAACUUUCUUGUACAGACUUUGUGAGCACAAGACAUUAGAGAGCUUCAGACAUACAAUACUGCUAUCUUCACCCCAGGAUGGUUAUGUGCCUCAUCAUUCUGCCAGAAUUGAACUGUGCCAGGCUGCUUCCUUGGACUACUCGAAAAAAGGUGCUGUAUUCCUGGAGAUGCUGAAUAAUUGCUUGGAUCAAAUACGGGCCCCAACUGCUGAGAAUCGGCUGUUCAUGCGUUGUGAUGUUAACUUUGAUACCUCCUCCUAUGGCAGGAGCUUCAACUCAUUGAUUGGGCGGGCCGCCCAUAUCGAGUUUUUGGAGUCCGACAACUUUGUGAAGUUCAUAAUGUGGUCAUUUCCAGAACUAUUUCGUUGAUUUCCAGGGAAGUCACGUACCAUCUCCACCCUACCAGUGUUGCUGGUAUCUUCUGUAGGUGAUUCACUUGGUUAUCUUUUGACAAGGGACAGGCAAAAAUGGAUUGGGAGGUCAGGUAGCGAACUUGUGGCAGCUGCACUCUUCCGUAUCAACAUGCAUAUUCUUGUUGACCUACAAUGUUGUUUGCGUGCUGUUCGACAGCAAGUUGGUCGGGAAUGAGAUUUGAAGUCAUCAUUUGUUUAUAAGUAAAAUAUGACUCAUGGUUUCGUGGACAGUAGUGUAAUUAUUUUAGGUUAGGUAGAAUGCUUAUAUAAAAUUAGGCCUUUGCCUAUUUGGUUCCAAUGUUUGCCAGAUAACAGGAUUGUGCGUGAAAACAGUUGAAGUGAAGAAACUCAAUAUAGCAGCUAUCCAGUUUACAUGUUAUAAUAAUGUUUAUCAUAACAAAUUUUAUUACUUGCUCUUUUUUAAUCUAUUUUGUAAAAUUUCUCUGUAAAUUUUUCUUUGAUCUUGGAAAUGCAAUUAUGUAAACUAUGGUUAUUCUUC
rnacentral:misc_RNA from 1 species